GUGAUAAUGCUAAAGUUUGAGAACCACUACUUUUUACUGGAUUAACAGUGAUAGAAGGAAAUAAAUAAAGUGAACUGAGAAAAAUCUAGAAGGAGAAAGCGAUAAGAAAUGAGGAGGAAGAAGGGUGAAGAAGAAACUGGUGAAGGAACUGGGUUCUGUGUACAGAUUGACAUCGGGGGGGAAGAGAAAUUGCACAACCAGAAGGAACAGAGAAGGUCCCCCUGGCAUCUGAAUGGCAUGUGGAAUUUCCCUAAAGAAGUUCUCCUUGAUGACAUGUGACACAGAAUCUAAGUUUGCUGUAAAUACGGAUCUUCUUCCGUCCCGACACCCCUGCAUGCUGUUCUUCACAGACGGUUCUGGAAAAGAAGGCUACUCUUCUUGCAAUUGCUCGGAACAUAAAAAUUCUCUAUCUAGGCCUUGAAUUAUCACCUUUUCCUUUUCUGAAAACAAAAGUGCACUCAGUGCGCAAUGCAUAUCUCUAAAGGAAAAUAAAUGAAUUUCAUUCAGAUGUUUGUGAAACCAAACACGGACGCUGUCAUCUGAGAAGCAGAAUUUAUGGGAAAAAAAGAGAAAAGAUGGUUCUGGGAUAGUUCAAAUCCCAAAGGAAGAGAAAAACACAUAACACUUAGCAAGAAUUCCCACCAGAAAUGAGGACACAUGCAUUUGAGACAACGAAAAACUGAAUGGAACCCAAAAACAAUAGACAGAUAAGGAGGUUUAGAUGAGUGAAAACUAUUUUUUCUUGUUUAUAUUACAGUGUUAUAACCAGAUUUUAGGGCAAUUUGCCAGUGAUAAAUUUUUAAGCCUCCUUCAAAUAUGACUUGUUUAAGAUAUUGACUUCAGUAUUCUAAUAAACAUUGGCUUAAUAGGGGUCACCAGUGUGCUAAAAAAUUCUCACGAUUAAAAUACUUGCUCAAGAUUUAUAGAUGAGAGAAAAUGCUCAUCAGCAUUCUGCACAAAGGUAGCAGGCAAGGAAAAUAAGAGCGUGAGAGCUACUUCAGAAAGUCUCUUCUGAAACGUCCCUGUGAGUUAGUCACACCAGUUGAACACUGGCUUGCACUCUUGGACUAGGAUGCAGCCAACAGUUAUCUUCCCGCAUGGGAGGAAUGUUAGUCUGACUUGAAAGAAAGAACAUACUGAACGUUAUAAAGUUUUGUUGGUGCAUCUCAAAUAAUCUUAAGGCUUAGUGCAAUUCUACGUAAAAUCCCAAACAGAUAUUUUUAACUAGGCAGAUAAUUCUAAACUUCUGUAAGCUGAAAUGAG